AUGGUGCUCGCGCAGCUGGGCGGGAGCAUCUCCCGCGCGCUCGCGCAGAUGAGCAACGCCACGGUGAUCGACGAGAAGGUGCUCGGGGAGUGCCUCAACGAGAUCUCCCGCGCGCUGCUGCAGUCCGACGUCCAGUUCAAGAUGGUCCGCGACAUGCAGACCAACAUCAGGAAGAUCGUCAACCUCGAGACCCUCGCCGCCGGCACCAACAAGCGACGCAUCAUACAGCAGGCCGUCUUCACGGAGCUCUGCAACAUGCUCGAUCCCGGGAAGCCGGCCUUCACCCCCAAGAAGGGCAAGCCCAGCGUCGUCAUGUUCGUCGGGUUGCAGGGUUCUGGAAAAACUACCACAUGUACCAAAUACGCAUAUUAUCAUCAGCGCAAGGGAUUUAAACCGUCUCUGGUUUGUGCCGAUACAUUCCGAGCUGGUGCUUUUGAUCAGUUGAAGCAGAAUGCAACCAAGGCAAAGAUACCGUUUUACGGAAGCUACAUGGAGUCAGAUCCUGUGAAAAUUGCUGUUGAGGGUCUGGAAAGGUUCAGGAAAGAAAAUUCUGAUCUCAUCAUUAUUGACACAAGUGGACGCCAUAAGCAAGAGGCUGCACUCUUAGAAGAAAUGCGUCAAGUUGCAGAAGCAACGAAACCAGACCUGGUGAUAUUUGUGAUGGAUGGCAGUAUUGGUCAGGCUGCGUUUGAUCAGGCACAAGCAUUUAAACAAAGUGCUUCUGUUGGUGCUGUCAUCGUAACGAAAUUGGAUGGUCAUGCAAAAGGAGGCGGUGCACUUAGCGCGGUUGCAGCUACAAAAAGUCCAGUGAUAUUUAUUGGAACUGGAGAACACAUUGAUGAAUUUGAGAUUUUUGAUGUGAAACCAUUUGUCAGCCGUCUGCUAGGUAUGGGAGACUUGUCUGGCUUAAUGGACAAGAUCCAGGAUGUUAUGCCUGCUGAUCAACAGCCUGAGCUUCUGGCAAAGCUGGCUGAAGGAACCUUCACUCUCAGACUUUUGUAUGAGCAAUUCCAGAAUCUUCUGAAAAUGGGUCCUAUUGGCCAGGUCUUCUCCAUGUUGCCUGGAUUUAGUUCAGAGUUGAUGCCAAAAGGACAUGAGAAAGAAGGCCAAGCGAAGAUUAAGCGGUACAUGACGAUUAUGGAUUCCAUGACAGCAGCAGAGCUCGACAGUACAAACCCAAAGCUGAUGACUGAGUCGCGAAUCAUCCGGAUCGCUCGGGGGUCUGGCAGGCAAAUCAGAGACGUGAUGGACAUGCUGGAAGAGUACAAGCGGCUAGCCAAGAUGUGGAGCAAGAUGAAGGGGCUAAAGAUGCCGAAGAAUGGAAAGAUGAGCGACCUGUCCCAGAACCUGAACAUCCAGCAGAUGACCAAGGCGCUCCCGCCGCAAGUGCUGAAGCAGAUGGGCGGCAUGGGCGGCCUGCAGGCCCUGAUGAAGCAGAUGGGCGGCAAGGACAUGAGCAAAAUGCUCGGUGGCAUGGGACUGGGCGGUGAUUAG
rnacentral:rRNA from 1 species